AUUGAACGCUGGCGGCAUGCCUUGCACAUGCAAGUCGAACGGUAACAGGUCUUCGGAUGCUGACGAGUGGCGAACGGGUGAGUAAUACAUCGGAACGUGCCCGAUCGUGGGGGAUAACGAAGCGAAAGCUUUGCUAAUACCGCAUAAGAUCUACGGAUGAAAGCAGGGGACCGCAAGGCCUUGCGCGAACGGAGCGGCCGAUGGCAGAUUAGGUAGUUGGUGGGAUAAAAGCUUACCAAGCCGACGAUCUGUAGCUGGUCUGAGAGGACGACCAGCCACACUGGGACUGAGACACGGCCCAGACUCCUACGGGAGGCAGCAGUGGGGAAUUUUGGACAAUGGGCGAAAGCCUGAUCCAGCCAUGCCGCGUGCAGGAUGAAGGCCUUCGGGUUGUAAACUGCUUUUGUACGGAACGAAAAGACUCUUUCUAAUAAAGAGGGUCCAUGACGGUACCGUAAGAAUAAGCACCGGCUAACUACGUGCCAGCAGCCGCCGCUGUAA
rnacentral:rRNA from 1 species